AUACGUAGGUGACAAGCGUUAUCCGGAUUUACUGGGCGUAAAGGGCGUGUAGGCGGUCUUGCAAGUCAGAAGUGAAAUUCCUGAGCUCAACUCGGGCGCUGCUUCUGAAACUGCAGGACUUGAGUGCUGGAGGGGAUAGCGGAAUUCCUAGUGGAGCGGUAAAAUGCGCAGAUAUUAGGAAGAACACCGGUGGCGAAGGCGGCUAUCUGGACAGUAACUGACGCUGAGGCGCGAAAGCGUGGGGAGCAAACAGGAUUAGAUACCCUGGUAGUCCACACUGUAAACGAUGAAUGCUAGGUGUAGGGGGUAUCGACCCCUUCUGUGCCGCAGUCAACACAAUAAGCAUUCCGCCUGGGGAGUACGGCCGCAAGGUUGAAACUCAAAUGAAUUGGCGGGG
rnacentral:rRNA from 1 species